UUACACAAUGCAAGUCGAACGGCAGCACAGGAGAGCUUGCUCUCUGGGUGGCGAGUGGCGGACGGGUGAGGAAUACAUCGGAAUCUACUCUGUCGUGGGGGAUAACGUAGGGAAACUUACGCUAAUACCGCAUACGACCUACGGGUGAAAGCAGGGGACCUUCGGGCCUUGCGCGAUUGAAUGAGCCGAUGUCGGAUUAGCUAGUUGGCGGGGUAAAGGCCCACCAAGGCGACGAUCCGUAGCUGGUCUGAGAGGAUGAUCAGCCACACUGGAACUGAGACACGGUCCAGACUCCUACGGGAGGCAGCAGUGGGGAAUAUUGGACAAUGGGCGCAAGCCUGAUCCAGCCAUACCGCGUGGGUGAAGAAGGCCUUCGGGUUGUAAAGCCCUUUUGUUGGGAAAGAAAUCCAGCUGGCUAAUACCCGGUUGGGAUGACGGUACCCAAAGAAUAAGCACCGGCUAACUUCGUGCCAGCAGCCGCGGUAAUACGAAGGGUGCAAGCGUUACUCGGAAUUACUGGGCGUAAAGCGUGCGUAGGUGGUUAUUUAAGUCCGUUGUGAAAGCCCUGGGCUCAACCUGGGAACUGCAGUGGAUACUGGAUGACUAGAAUGUGGUAGAGGGUAGCGGAAUUCCUGGUGUAGCAGUGAAAUGCGUAGAGAUCAGGAGGAACAUCCAUGGCGAAGGCAGCUACCUGGACCAACAUUGACACUGAGGCACGAAAGCGUGGGGAGCAAACAGGAUUAGAUACCUGAGGUAGUCCUGA
rnacentral:rRNA from 1 species